rnacentral:rRNA from 1 species
UUAAGCGACUAAGCGUACACGGUGGAUGCCCUGGCAGUCAGAGGCGAUGAAGGACGUGCUAAUCUGCGAUAAGCGUCGGUAAGGUGAUAUGAACCGUUAUAACCGGCGAUUUCCGAAUGGGGAAACCCAGUGUGUUUCGACACACUAUCAUUAACUGAAUCCAUAGGUUAAUGAGGCGAACCGGGGGAACUGAAACAUCUAAGUACCCCGAGGAAAAGAAAUCAACCGAGAUUCCCCCAGUAGCGGCGAGCGAACGGGGAGGAGCCCAGAGCCUGAAUCAGUGUGUGUGUUAGUGGAAGCGUCUGGAAAGGCGCGCGAUACAGGGUGACAGCCCCGUACACAAAAAUGCACAUAUUGUGAGCUCGAUGAGUAGGGCGGGACACGUGGUAUCCUGUCUGAAUAUGGGGGGACCAUCCUCCAAGGCUAAAUACUCCUGACUGACCGAUAGUGAACCAGUACCGUGAGGGAAAGGCGAAAAGAACCCCGGCGAGGGGAGUGAAAAAGAACCUGAAACCGUGUACGUACAAGCAGUGGGAGCACGCUUAGGCGUGUGACUGCGUACCUUUUGUAUAAUGGGUCAGCGACUUAUAUUCUGUAGCAAGGUUAACCGAAUAGGGGAGCCGAAGGGAAACCGAGUCUUAACUGGGCGUUAAGUUGCAGGGUAUAGACCCGAAACCCGGUGAUCUAGCCAUGGGCAGGUUGAAGGUUGGGUAACACUAACUGGAGGACCGAACCGACUAAUGUUGAAAAAUUAGCGGAUGACUUGUGGCUGGGGGUGAAAGGCCAAUCAAACCGGGAGAUAGCUGGUUCUCCCCGAAAGCUAUUUAGGUAGCGCCUCGUGAAUUCAUCUCCGGGGGUAGAGCACUGUUUCGGCAAGGGGGUCAUCCCGACUUACCAACCCGAUGCAAACUGCGAAUACCGGAGAAUGUUAUCACGGGAGACACACGGCGGGUGCUAACGUCCGUCGUGAAGAGGGAAACAACCCAGACCGCCAGCUAAGGUCCCAAAGUCAUGGUUAAGUGGGAAACGAUGUGGGAAGGCCCAGACAGCCAGGAUGUUGGCUUAGAAGCAGCCAUCAUUUAAAGAAAGCGUAAUAGCUCACUGGUCGAGUCGGCCUGCGCGGAAGAUGUAACGGGGCUAAACCAUGCACCGAAGCUGCGGCAGCGACGCUUAUGCGUUGUUGGGUAGGGGAGCGUUCUGUAAGCCUGCGAAGGUGUGCUGUGAGGCAUGCUGGAGGUAUCAGAAGUGCGAAUGCUGACAUAAGUAACGAUAAAGCGGGUGAAAAGCCCGCUCGCCGGAAGACCAAGGGUUCCUGUCCAACGUUAAUCGGGGCAGGGUGAGUCGACCCCUAAGGCGAGGCCGAAAGGCGUAGUCGAUGGGAAACAGGUUAAUAUUCCUGUACUUGGUGUUACUGCGAAGGGGGGACGGAGAAGGCUAUGUUGGCCGGGCGACGGUUGUCCCGGUUUAAGCGUGUAGGCUGGUUUUCCAGGCAAAUCCGGAAAAUCAAGGCUGAGGCGUGAUGACGAGGCACUACGGUGCUGAAGCAACAAAUGCCCUGCUUCCAGGAAAAGCCUCUAAGCAUCAGGUAACAUCAAAUCGUACCCCAAACCGACACAGGUGGUCAGGUAGAGAAUACCAAGGCGCUUGAGAGAACUCGGGUGAAGGAACUAGGCAAAAUGGUGCCGUAACUUCGGGAGAAGGCACGCUGAUAUGUAGGUGAAGUCCCUCGCGGAUGGAGCUGAAAUCAGUCGAAGAUACCAGCUGGCUGCAACUGUUUAUUAAAAACACAGCACUGUGCAAACACGAAAGUGGACGUAUACGGUGUGACGCCUGCCCGGUGCCGGAAGGUUAAUUGAUGGGGUUAGCCGCAAGGCGAAGCUCUUGAUCGAAGCCCCGGUAAACGGCGGCCGUAACUAUAACGGUCCUAAGGUAGCGAAAUUCCUUGUCGGGUAAGUUCCGACCUGCACGAAUGGCGUAAUGAUGGCCAGGCUGUCUCCACCCGAGACUCAGUGAAAUUGAACUCGCUGUGAAGAUGCAGUGUACCCGCGGCAAGACGGAAAGACCCCGUGAACCUUUACUAUAGCUUGACACUGAACAUUGAGCCUUGAUGUGUAGGAUAGGUGGGAGGCUUUGAAGUGUGGACGCCAGUCUGCAUGGAGCCGACCUUGAAAUACCACCCUUUAAUGUUUGAUGUUCUAACGUUGACCCGUAAUCCGGGUUGCGGACAGUGUCUGGUGGGUAGUUUGACUGGGGCGGUCUCCUCCUAAAGAGUAACGGAGGAGCACGAAGGUUGGCUAAUCCUGGUCGGACAUCAGGAGGUUAGUGCAAUGGCAUAAGCCAGCUUGACUGCGAGCGUGACGGCGCGAGCAGGUGCGAAAGCAGGUCAUAGUGAUCCGGUGGUUCUGAAUGGAAGGGCCAUCGCUCAACGGAUAAAAGGUACUCCGGGGAUAACAGGCUGAUACCGCCCAAGAGUUCAUAUCGACGGCGGUGUUUGGCACCUCGAUGUCGGCUCAUCACAUCCUGGGGCUGAAGUAGGUCCCAAGGGUAUGGCUGUUCGCCAUUUAAAGUGGUACGCGAGCUGGGUUUAGAACGUCGUGAGACAGUUCGGUCCCUAUCUGCCGUGGGCGCUGGAGAACUGAGGGGGGCUGCUCCUAGUACGAGAGGACCGGAGUGGACGCAUCACUGGUGUUCGGGUUGUCAUGCCAAUGGCACUGCCCGGUAGCUAAAUGCGGAAGAGAUAAGUGCUGAAAGCAUCUAAGCACGAAACUUGCCCCGAGAUGAGUUCUCCCUGACCCUUUAAGGGUCCUGAAGGAACGUUGAAGACGACGACGUUGAUAGGCCGGGUGUGUAAGCGCAGCGAUGCGUUGAGCUAACCGGUACUAAUGAACCGUGAGGCUUAACCU